ensembl:lncRNA
GUCUGUGUUGGAGGUGUCAGUGUGGGGUAUGUCUGUGUUGGAGGUGUCAGUGUGGUGUAUGUCUGUGUUAGUGGUGUCUGUGUUGGAGGUGUCUGUGUUGGAGGUGUCUGUGUGGUGUGUGUCUGUGUUUGAGGUGUCUGUGUUAGAGGUGUCAGUGUUGGAGGUGUCUGUGUGGUGUGUGUCUGUGUUUGAGGUGUCUGUGUUAGAGGUGUCAGUGUUGGAGGUGUCUGUGUUGGAGGUGUCAGUGUUGGAGGUGUCUGUGUGGGAGGUGUCUGUAUGGGGUGCUGGGCAGAGCAGAGCAGAGAGACACCAGAGAG